rnacentral:rRNA from 1 species
AUGCAACACCUCCUCAUGAGAUGUCCAUUCUCGCGUGGCAUCUGGCACGACAUUCUCUCUGCCUGCAGGGUGACGACAGCGGCGCUGAUUGGCGACGAGGACUUCCUGGAGUGGUGGGCGUCCUCUAUGGCGUCGGCCCCUAACAGUCUACGGAAAGGCCUCGCUUCCCUUGUCAUCCUCGUCACCUGAAGCAUUUGGAAGCACCGCAACGCGUGUACCUUCGACAACGAGCACCCAUCUACUUUGCGGCUCGCCCAACUCAUCCGUGACGAAGCUCACACAUGGGCCUAG